GACGACAACAUUAUAACGACGUAUUCAACGAAGACCUCCCUGCACGGGAUGGGGGAAAAAACAUUAUUCAAUUCAAAGAAGGAUCUGCUCGGACAUACCAAACUGCAGCGACUACAACAACUAAGAUUUAGGUUCAACUUAAAUAUGACAGACAAGGCGUAACUGCACGGUAAAUGAUCACUGCACCAUUGUCCACUUUCAUGCACAGGAUAGUGCAUAAAGGGAGAUGAAAAUACUCGACUGUGUGACGGCGAAUAAUAAACAGCUAUAAACACCGAACAGUCCAAACCGGAAUAAAGGACGUGACAGUCGUAAGUGCCUUUGUCUUCUGUCUCACAAACGCAGAGACUUUUCCCUUCCUUUAGGAUAUAAAUCAAAGCGGAAACCAAAACGAGCCGUUGAAGCAGAGACCGACGAUGUACGAUCACAUCUCCUCUUUUCACUGUAACACAUUGUCCUAGUGGGCUGCGUCUGAGGAGCGUAUUAAGCGUUUUUUUUUUUUUACGCUACAAACACAAUUUACCCACGUCCUAGUUAUUUAUUUAUUUUUCUACAGAAAGGGGACUUGAGUUCAUGACAUCUGCAAAGGUCACGGGAAAUAUUCGAAGGCUAUUGCUACAGAUGUUACGGAAAUUACCCCCAAGAUGACAAAAGAACGACCUGGGCUGCUGGAAUGAUGGAUCGGAUUGGAGCGCCGGCGUUUCUCCUGGUCAUAUGGAUAUUAAUACGGUUCGCUUUGGUCUGUGUAGUGGCCUGCAGUGGGAAGGUUGAGCUUCAUACAGAGAGGAGAGGUGUAAUCUACAGCCCAUCUUGGCCCCUCAACUACCCCCCCGGAAUGAACUGCUCCUGGAACAUAGAGGGGGACAGGGGAGAGGUUAUCACCAUCAGGUAACAACAUAGAGGGAGACAGGAGAGAGGUUAUCACCAUCAGGUAACAUAGAGGGAGACAGGAGAGAGGUUAUCACCAUCAGGUAACAACAUAGAGGGAGACAGGAGAGAGGUUAUCACCAUCAGGUAACAACAUAGAGGGAGACAGGAGAGAGGUUAUCACCAUCAGGUAACAACAUAGAGGGAGACAGGAGAGAGGUUAUCACCAUCAGGUAACAACAUAGAGGGAGACAGGAGAGAGGUUAUCACCAUCAGGUAACAUAGAGGGGGACAGGAGAGAGGUUAUCACCAUCAGGUAACAACAUAGAGGGGGACAGGAGAGAGGUUAUCACCAUCAGGUAACAUAGAGGGAGACAGGAGAGAGGUUAUCACCAUCAGGUAACAUAGAGGGAGACAGGAGAGAGGUUAUCACCAUCAGGUAACAUAGAGGGAGACAGGAGAGAGGUUAUCACCAUCAGGUAACAUAGAGGGGGACAGGAGAGAGGUUAUCACCAUCAGGUAACAUAGAGGGAGACAGGAGAGAGGUUAUCACCAUCAGGUAACAUAGAGGGAGACAGGAGAGAGGUUAUCACCAUCAGAUAACAUAGAGGGAGACAGGAGAGAGGUUAUCACCAUCAGGUAACAUAGAGGGAGACAGGAGAGAGGUUAUCACCAUCAGGUAACAUAGAGGGGGACAGGAGAGAGGUUAUCACCACCAGGUAACAUAGAGGGGGACAGGAGAGAGGUUAUCACCAUCAGGUAACAACAUAGAGACAGGAGAGAGGUUAUCACCACCAGGUAACAUAGAGGGGGACAGGAGAGAGGUUAUCACCAUCAGGUAACAACAUAGAGGGAGACAGGAGAGAGGUUAUCACCAUCAGGUAACAUAGAGGGAGACAGGAGAGAGGUUAUCACCAUCAGGUAACAUAGAGGGAGACAGGAGAGAGGUUAUCACCAUCAGGUAACAUAGAGGGAGACAGGAGAGAGGUUAUCACCAUCACGUAACAUAGAGGGAGACAGGAGAGAGGUUAUCACCAUCAGGUAACAUAGAGGGAGACAGGAGAGAGGUUAUCACCAUCAGGUAACAACAUAGAGGGAGACAGGAGAGAGGUUAUCACCAUCAGGUAACAUAGAGGGAGACAGGAGAGAGGUUAUCACCAUCAGGUAACAUAGAGGGAGACAGGAGAGAGGUUAUCACCAUCAGGUAACAUAGAGGGAGACAGGAGAGAGGUUAUCACCAUCAGGUAACAUAGAGGGGGACAGGAGAGAGGUUAUCACCAUCAGGUAACAUAGAGGGAGACAGGGGAGAGGUUAUCACCAUCAGGUAACAACAUAGAGGGAGACAGGAGAGAGGUUAUCACCAUCAGGUAACAACAUAGAGGGAGACAGGAGAGAGGUUAUCACCAUCAGGUAACAACAUAGAGACAGGAGAGAGGUUAUCACCAUCAGGUAACAUAGAGGGAGACAGGAGAGAGGUUAUCACCAUCAGGUAACAUAGAGGGGGACAGGAGAGAGGUUAUCACCAUCAGGUAACAUAGAGGGAGACAGGAGAGAGGUUAUCACCAUCAGGUAACAUAGAGGGAGACAGGAGAGAGGUUAUCACCAUCAGGUAACAUAGAGGGAGACAGGAGAGAGGUUAUCACCAUCAGAUAACAUAGAGGGGGACAGGAGAGAGGUUAUCACCAUCAGGUAACAUAGAGGGAGACAGGAGAGAGGUUAUCACCAUCAGGUAACAACAUAGAGGGGGACAGGAGAGAGGUUAUCACCAUCAGGUAACAUAGAGGGAGACAGGAGAGAGGUUAUCACCAUCAGGUAACAUAGAGGGAGACAGGAGAGAGGUUAUCACCAUCAGGUAACAUAGAGGGAGACAGGAGAGAGGUUAUCACCAUCAGGUAACAUAGAGGGGGACAGGAGAGAGGUUAUCACCAUCAGGUAACAUAGAGGGAGACAGGAGAGAGGUUAUCACCAUCAGGUAACAACAUAGAGGGAGACAGGAGAGAGGUUAUCACCAUCAGGUAACAACAUAGAGGGAGACAGGAGAGAGGUUAUCACCAUCAGGUAACAACAUAGAGGGAGACAGGAGAGAGGUUAUCACCAUCAGGUAACAUAGAGGGGGACAGGAGAGAGGUUAUCACCAUCAGGUAACAUAGAGGGAGACAGGAGAGAGGUUAUCACCAUCAGGUAACAACAUAGAGGGAGACAGGAGAGAGGUUAUCACCAUCAGGUAACAUAGAGGGAGACAGGAGAGAGGUUAUCACCAUCAGGUAACAACAUAGAGGGAGACAGGAGAGAGGUUAUCACCAUCAGGUAACAACAUAGAGGGAGACAGGAGAGAGGUUAUCACCAUCAGGUAACAUAGAGGGAGACAGGAGAGAGGUUAUCACCAUCAGGUAACAUAGAGGGAGACAGGAGAGAGGUUAUCACCAUCAGGUAACAUAGAGGGAGACAGGAGAGAGGUUAUCACCAUCAGAUAACAUAGAGGGGGACAGGAGAGAGGUUAUCACCAUCAGGUAACAUAGAGGGAGACAGGAGAGAGGUUAUCACCAUCAGGUAACAACAUAGAGGGGGACAGGAGAGAGGUUAUCACCAUCAGGUAACAUAGAGGGAGACAGGAGAGAGGUUAUCACCAUCAGGUAACAUAGAGGGAGACAGGAGAGAGGUUAUCACCAUCAGGUAACAUAGAGGGAGACAGGAGAGAGGUUAUCACCAUCAGGUAACAUAGAGGGGGACAGGAGAGAGGUUAUCACCAUCAGGUAACAUAGAGGGAGACAGGAGAGAGGUUAUCACCAUCAGGUAACAACAUAGAGGGAGACAGGAGAGAGGUUAUCACCAUCAGGUAACAACAUAGAGGGAGACAGGAGAGAGGUUAUCACCAUCAGGUAACAACAUAGAGGGAGACAGGAGAGAGGUUAUCACCAUCAGGUAACAUAGAGGGGGACAGGAGAGAGGUUAUCACCAUCAGGUAACAUAGAGGGAGACAGGAGAGAGGUUAUCACCAUCAGGUAACAACAUAGAGGGAGACAGGAGAGAGGUUAUCACCAUCAGGUAACAUAGAGGGAGACAGGAGAGAGGUUAUCACCAUCAGGUAACAACAUAGAGGGAGACAGGAGAGAGGUUAUCACCAUCAGGUAACAACAUAGAGGGAGACAGGAGAGAGGUUAUCACCAUCAGGUAACAUAGAGGGAGACAGGAGAGAGGUUAUCACCAUCAGGUAACAACAUAGAGGGGGACAGGAGAGAGGUUAUCACCAUCAGGUAACAUAGAGGGAGACAGGAGAGAGGUUAUCACCAUCAGGUAACAACAUAGAGGGAGACAGGAGAGAGGUUAUCACCAUCAGGUAACAUAGAGGGAGACAGGAGAGAGAUUAUCACCAUCAGGUAACAACAUAGAGACAGGAGAGAGGUUAUCACCAUCAGGUAACAUAGAGGGAGACAGGAGAGAGGUUAUCACCAUCAGGUAACAUAGAGGGAGACAGGAGAGAGGUUAUAACCAUCAGGUAACAUAGAGGGAGACAGGAGAGAGGUUAUCACCAUCAGGUAACAUAGAGGGAGACAGGAGAGAGGUUAUCACCAUCAGGUAACAUAGAGGGGGACAGGAGAGAGGUUAUCACCAUCAGGUAACAUAGAGGGGGACAGGAGAGAGGUUAUCACCAUCAGGUAACAACAUAGAGGGAGACAGGAGAGAGGUUAUCACCAUCAGGUAACAUAGAGGGAGACAGGAGAGAGGUUAUCACCAUCAGGUAACAACAUAGAGGGGGACAGGAGAGAGGUUAUCACCAUCAGGUAACAUAGAGGGAGACAGGAGAGAGGUUAUCACCAUCAGGUAACAUAGAGGGAGACAGGAGAGAGGUUAUCACCAUCAGGUAACAUAGAGGGAGACAGGAGAGAGAUUAUCACCAUCAGGUAACAUAGAGGGAGACAGGAGAGAGGUUAUCACCAUCAGGUAACAUAGAGGGAGACAGGAGAGAGGUUAUCACCAUCAGGUAACAUAGAGGGAGACAGGAGAGAGGUUAUCACCAUCAGGUAACAUAGAGGGAGACAGGAGAGAGGUUAUCACCAUCAGGUAACAACAUAGAGGGAGACAGGAGAGAGGUUAUCACCAUCAGGUAACAACAUAGAGGGAGACAGGAGAGAGGUUAUCACCAUCAGGUAACAACAUAGA